UAGGGAAUCUUCGGCAAUGGACGAAAGUCUGACCGAGCAACGCCGCGUGAGUGAAGAAGGUUUUCGGAUCGUAAAACUCUGUUGUUAGAGAAGAACAAGGACGUUAGUAACUGAACGUCCCCUGACGGUAUCUAACCAGAAAGCCACGGCUAACUACGUGCCAGCAGCCGCGGUAAUACGUAGGUGGCAAGCGUUGUCCGGAUUUAUUGGGCGUAAAGCGAGCGCAGGCGGUUUCUUAAGUCUGAUGUGAAAGCCCCCGGCUCAACCGGGGAGGGUCAUAGGAGACGGGGAGACUUGAGUGCAGAAGAGGAGAGUGGAAGUCCAGGGGUAGCGGUGAGAUGCGUAGAUAGAUGGAGGAACACCAGUGGCGAAGGCGGUUCUCUGGUCUGUAACUGACGAUGAGGCUCGAAAGAGUGGGGAGCAAACAGG
rnacentral:rRNA from 1 species